rnacentral:rRNA from 1 species
AUUGAACGCUGGCGGCAGGCCUAACACAUGCAAGUCGAGCGGUAGCACAGAGAGCUUGCCCUCGGGUGACGAGCGGCGGACGGGUGAGUAAUGUCUGGGAAACUGCCUGAUGGAGGGGGAUAACUACUGGAAACGGUAGCUAAUACCGCAUAACGUCGCAAGACCAAAGUGGGGGACCUUCGGGCCUCAUGCCAUCAGAUGUGCCCAGGUGGGAUUAGCUAGUAGGUGGGGUAACGGCUCACCUAGGCGACGAUCCCUAGCUGGUCUGAGAGGAUGACCAGCCACACUGGAACUGAGACACGGUCCAGACUCCUACGGGAGGCAGCAGUGGGGAAUAUUGCACAAUGGGCGCAAGCCUGAUGCAGCCAUGCCGCGUGUGUGAAGAAGGCCUUCGGGUUGUAAAGCACUUUCAGCGGGGAGGAAGGCGGUGAGGUUAAUAACCUCAUCGAUUGACGUUACCCGCAGAGGAAGCACCGGUUAACUCCGUGCCAGCCGCCGCCGUAA